rnacentral:rRNA from 1 species
CAAUAAUUAAAUUUGGUUAGUAGGAAAAACGUGCUUUAAAUUCUUUAUAAUUUCUACAAGAUUUUUCUAUUAGAAGAUAAAAUUUAUUUAAUAAUUAAAUAUUAUUGAGAUUUAAAUAUUUUCCCUAGUAAAUUUUGUGCCAGCAACAGCGGUUAUACAAAAAGGGAUAUUUUUUUAAUAAUUAUUUAUUUUUUAAAUAUUAAUUACAGUAGUUUAAAAUUAAAGUGAAAUUUAUUUUUUUUUAAAUUUAUAAAUAAAAUAAUAAUUCUAUUCUAAACUAGGAUUAGAUACCCUAUUAUUAAGAGUUUUAUAUUGCUAGUAUAUAAAUAUUAUGAAAACAAAAAAUUAUGGCGGUAUUUUAAGCUUUUCAGAGGAAUUUGCUCUUUAAUGGAUAAAACACCUUAACCUUACUAAAAUUAGUUAAGCAGUUUGUAUACCACUAUUUAAGUAAUAAUUUGUUGUUAUUACUAAAAUAUACAUAAAGUAAAAAAAGUUAAGUCAAGGUGCAGCAAAAAUUUUAGUAUGAAGUGAAUUACAUUACUCUAAAGUGAUUUUAAAGUUGAAAAUAAUUUUUAGGAUUUGAAAGUAAAAUUUUAAUAAAAAGAAAAUUUGAAUUUAGCUCUAAAAUAUGUACAUAUCGCCCGUCGCUCUUUUUUAAAGAUAAGUCGUAACAAAGUUAAAGUACUGGAAAGUGCUUUAAA